GUACUCAAAUUUGGCAGCACAUAUACUAAAACUGGAGCAAUACAGAGAAGAUAAGUAUGGCCCCCAAGCAAGGACGACACGCAAAUUUUUGAAGCAUUGGGAAAAAAA